rnacentral:rRNA from 1 species
AGGAUAAACGCUGGCGGCGUGCCUAACACAUGCAAGUCGAACGCGCUUUCGGGCUUCGGUGCGAGAGCGAGUGGCGGACGGGUGAGUAACACAUGGGUACCUACCUUGGAGUGAGGGAUACCGGCGAGAAAUCGCCGACAAUACCGCAUAGGCUUCUUCACAAGGGAAGCAAAGUGACGCGAGUCACGCUGUGAGAUGGGCCUGUGGCCGAUUAGCUAGUUGGGGGGGUAACGGCUUCCCAAGGCGACGAUCGGUAGCUGGUCUGAGAGGACGAUCAGCCACACUGGGAUUGAGAACGGCCCAGACUCCUACGGGGGGCAGCAGUGAGGAAUUUUCCGCAAUGGAGGCAACUCUGACGGAGCAACGCCGCGUGCAGGAGGAAGGUUUUCGGAUCGUAAACUGCUUUUCGUCGGGGACGAGCGAAGGACGGUACCCGAGGAAGAAGCCCCGGCUAACUACGUGCCAGCAGCCGC